AUGGGCAAGGGCGGCGGCUGCGUGCCCAGCAAGAGCCAGCGCCCUCCACCCCCGCAGCGCCGCGACCGCACCUUCAUCCCGGCCCCGGCCACUGCCGCACCAGAGCCGACCCCGACCACCGCCGCGCCGGAGCCGACCGCGACCACCGCCGCGCCGGAGCCGGCGCCAGCGCCGUCGCCACGCCAGGUCCGCAUCUACGUCGUGUUCUACUCCAUGUAUGGCAACGUGCGGCGCCUGGCGCGGGCGGUGCAGCGCGGGGUGGGGUCCGUGCCGGGCGCGCGGGGGAUCCUGCUCCGCGUGCCGGAGACCCUGCCGCGCGCCGUGCUGGCCCGGAUGGGCGCGCUGGAGGCCGCCGCGGAGAUGGACGCGGAGGGGAUCCCCGUGGCGGACCCCGGCGGGCUCCCCGACGCCGACGGCUUCCUCUUCGGCUUCCCCGCGCGGUACGGCGCCAUGGCCGCGCAGAUGCAGGCCUUCUUCGACUCCACCGCGCCGCUCUGCCGCGGCCAGCGCCUCGCCGGCAAGCCCGCCGGCUUCUUCGUCAGCACCGGCACCCAGUGCGGCGGCCAGGAGACCACCGCGUGGACGGCGAUCACGCAGCUGGCGCACCAGGGCAUGCUGUUCGUGCCCAUCGGGUACACCUUCAGAGAGGGGAUGUUCGAGAUGGAGGAGCUCCGCGGGGGCUCGCCGUACGGCGCCGGGGUGUUCGCCGGCGACGGCUCCAGGCCGCCCAGCGAGCUGGAGCUGGCCCUCGCCGAGCACCACGGCAAGUACAUGGCCACGCUGGUCAAGAGGAUGGUGCACGGCGCCGAUGCCUGA
rnacentral:rRNA from 1 species